CUUUCUUCACGUCAUGCGUCACGUGAUCAACCACCGGACAUUACCACUGGCGGAAAAAGAAAACGACAUGACGUGGGUUUAAUGUAGCCAUGAGAGGUCAGGGGAUCUAACAGCGUUGAGUGAGCGCUCCCGCGAAGGCCUGUGAAGAAGUGUGCUCCGUCACUGCCACUGAGGCGCACAUCCUCACCGCAGGAAACUAUCUCAACUUGUAACUCCACUCCCCGACUGCUCCAUUACAGGACUUUGCACAGUUGCUCUGAAGAGCUGCAGGAGGGAUUAGAUGACUGACGUUUUUAUGAGAUGAAACUAACCACAACUGCUGAGGCGAGACAGCGGUGGAAAAAUAGCAAACCUGCAAUCAGGAAAAUCGGGACUUCUGUUAAUUUGUUGAGUGUGCAUCCGGUGACAAAUGGGAAGUAACCAAAAGUGGCUAUCUUACUGAUGCAACGACUAACAAAGCCUUCUUAGCAUCUCCACAUUUUGACCCUGCGAUCCAACUGCUGUAAGCAGAAUACACUAAACGCAACGACAGCUGCAAAUCCACAGGAGACCGUUCAUGAUUCCUACGUUCUAACAAGGUGUUGCAUCACAUGAACCUGUCACGCAUGAUCAGCGACGUUGUAAAGGGACUGCAUCUGCAAGAUGGUCACAUUUUCCAUCAAGAAGAGGAAAAAGGAUUGCAAGGUGUUAGUACUUAUUUCAAUAAGAACACGCUGACAAUAAAAACACGAACGCUAAAGCGAAAACAGCAGCUAGUUCUGCUUUUUGGAUAUUUGUGUUGACAUCAGAAGAGAUACGGGAAUCAAUACAUUUUAUAGAGUGGAUGCAUGCUUUGACUCAUUUUUAAGAAUUUUUGAGCUAGAACAGCAUCCGGCCUUACAUAUUUAAAUCAACUUUGACAAAUAAAUUAUGGAUAGUCCAACAUUUUGAUGAAAUCCAUGCCGUGUUUUUCAAACAAUUACUUAUUCACCCGAUUAAUGCAUCAAAACACAAGCCCCUAACCUCUUGUUGUUUCAACAAUAAACAUAUUAAACUACA